GACGAACGCUGGCGGCGUGCUUAACACAUGCAAGUCGAACGGAAAGGCCCUGCUUUUGUGGGGUGCUUGAGUGGCGAACGGGUGAGUAACACGUGAGUAACCUGCCCUUGACUUUGGGAUAACUUAAGGAAACUGGGGCUAAUACCGGAUAGGAGCUCCUGCUGCAUGGUGGGGGUUGGAAAGUUUCGGCGGUUGGGGAUGGACUCGCGGCUUAUCAGCUUGUUGGUGGGGUAGUGGCUUACCAAGGCUUUGACGGGUAGCCGGCCUGAGAGGGUGACCGGCCACAUUGGGACUGAGAUACGGCCCAGACUCCUACGGGAGGCAGCAGUGGGGAAUAUUGCACAAUGGGCGGAAGCCUGAUGCAGCAACGCCGCGUGCGGGAUGACGGCCUUCGGGUUGUAAACCGCUUUCGCCUGUGACGAAGCGUGAGUGACGGUAAUGGGUAAAGAAGCACCGGCUAACUACGUG
rnacentral:rRNA from 1 species